rnacentral:rRNA from 1 species
AUUGAACGCUGGCGGCAGGCCUAACACAUGCAAGUCGAGCGAGCGGCGGACGGGUGAGUAAUGUAUGGGGAUCUGCCCGAUAGAGGGGGAUAACUAAUGGAAACGGUGGCUAAUACCGCAUACUAUCGGCUGUGCCCAUAUGGGAUUAUCUAGUAGGGGUGGUAACGGCUCACCUAGGCGACGAUCUCUAGCUGGUCUGAGAGGAUGAUCCGCCACACUGGGACGGAGCCACGGUCCAGACUCCUACGGGAGGCAGCCUUGGGGAAUAUUGCACAAUGGGCGCAAGCCUGAUGAAGCCAUGCCGCGUGUAUGAAGAAGGCCUUAGGGUUGUAAAGUACUUUCAGCGGGGAGGCGUUACCCGCAGAAGAAGCACCGGCUAACUCCGUGCCAGCAGCCGCGGUAAUAC